GCCGGUGUAGCUCAAUGGAACAAAGAGCAUCGGUCUUCUAAACCGAAGGUUCCGGGUUCGAGUCCCGGCAUCGGCCCCA
rnacentral:tRNA from 1 species